UGCUGCGUUGUUGUAGGAGUUUUCCUGGAAGCAGAUGAUACCAUCCUGUACACGUGUGGCUGGGAGGCUUUAUUCACACUGAAGGGCCGAUCUGGCAGGCAGCCUUGACUCACUGGGCUACGCACAUGGACUGGAAUCUCAGAAUGGAAGCUUGCUUCUUGAGGAAAGGCAGCUUGAUGGAAUAGAUCGGGACGAGUGAGAUGUGGUCUGGGCUCCUCUGGCUGGAGAGCUUUUUAGGCACAAAGCAUUCCCCACAAGAAGAUGGAAAUAAAACAGAAUAACCGCACAAUGGGAUACACAUGCUGAUCUGAAGAUGUCACUGAGAAGCUCAUAAUGCUCAUUCUAUAAAUGUGUGUGUGUAACAAGUGAAAUAAAUAUUUUUG
rnacentral:lncRNA from 1 species